CGUCACACUAUCAUUAACUGAAUCCAUAGGUUAAUGAGGCGAACCGGGGGAACUGAAACAUCUAAGUACCCCGAGGAAAAGAAAUCAACCGAGAUUCCCCCAGUAGCGGCGAGCGAACGGGGAGCAGCCCAGAGCCUGAAUCAGUGUGUGUGUUAGUGGAAGCGUCUGGAAAGGCGUGCGAUACAGGGUGACAGCCCCGUACACAAAAAUGCACAUGCUGUGAGCUCGAUGAGUAGGGCGGGACACGUGGUAUCCUGUCUGAAUAUGGGGGGACCAUCCUCCAAGGCUAAAUACUCCUGACUGACCGAUAGUGAACCAGUACCGUGAGGGAAAGGCGAAAAGAACCCCGGCGAGGGGAGUGAAAAAGAACCUGAAACCGUGUACGUACAAGCAGUGGGAGCCUCUUUAUGGGGUGACUGCGUACCUUUUGUAUAAUGGGUCAGCGACUUAUAUUCUGUAGCAAGGUUAACCGAAUAGGGGAGCCGAAGGGAAACCGAGUCUUAACUGGGCGUUAAGUUGCAGGGUAUAGACCCGAAACCCGGUGAUCUAGCCAUGGGCAGGUUGAAGGUUGGGUAACACUAACUGGAGGACCGAACCGACUAAUGUUGAAAAAUUAGCGGAUGACUUGUGGCUGGGGGUGAAAGGCCAAUCAAACCGGGAGAUAGCUGGUUCUCCCCGAAAGCUAUUUAGGUAGCGCCUCGUGAAUUCAUCUCCGGGGGUAGAGCACUGUUUCGGCAAGGGGGUCAUCCCGACUUACCAACCCGAUGCAAACUGCGAAUACCGGAGAAUGUUAUCACGGGAGACACACGGCGGGUGCUAACGUCCGUCGUGAAGAGGGAAACAACCCAGACCGCCAGCUAAGGUCCCAAAGUCAUGGUUAAGUGGGAAACGAUGUGGGAAGGCCCAGACAGCCAGGAUGUUGGCUUAGAAGCAGCCAUCAUUUAAAGAAAGCGUAAUAGCUCACUGGUCGAGUCGGCCUGCGCGGAAGAUGUAACGGGGCUAAACCAUGCACCGAAGCUGCGGCAGCGACACUAUGUGUUGUUGGGUAGGGGAGCGUUCUGUAAGCCGUUGAAGGUGGCCUGUGAGGGUUGCUGGAGGUAUCAGAAGUGCGAAUGCUGACAUAAGUAACGAUAAAGCGGGUGAAAAGCCCGCUCGCCGGAAGACCAAGGGUUCCUGUCCAACGUUAAUCGGGGCAGGGUGAGUCGACCCCUAAGGCGAGGCCGAAAGGCGUAGUCGAUGGGAAACAGGUUAAUAUUCCUGUACUUGGUGUUACUGCGAAGGGGGGACGGAGAAGGCUAUGUUGGCCGGGCGACGGUUGUCCCGGUUUAAGCGUGUAGGCUGAUUUUCCAGGCAAAUCCGGAGAAUCAAGGCUGAGGCGUGAUGACGAGGCACUACGGUGCUGAAGCAACAAAUGCCCUGCUUCCAGGAAAAGCCUCUAAGCAUCAGGUAACAUCAAAUCGUACCCCAAACCGACACAGGUGGUCAGGUAGAGAAUACCAAGGCGCUUGAGAGAACUCGGGUGAAGGAACUAGGCAAAAUGGUGCCGUAACUUCGGGAGAAGGCACGCUGAUGGUAGGUGAAGCGACUUGCUCGUGGAGCUGAAAUCAGUCGAAGAUACCAGCUGGCUGCAACUGUUUAUUAAAAACACAGCACUGUGCAAACACGAAAGUGGACGUAUACGGUGUGACGCCUGCCCGGUGCCGGAAGGUUAAUUGAUGGGGUCAGCCGCAAGGCGAAGCUCUUGAUCGAAGCCCCGGUAAACGGCGGCCGUAACUAUAACGGUCCUAAGGUAGCGAAAUUCCUUGUCGGGUAAGUUCCGACCUGCACGAAUGGCGUAAUGAUGGCCAGGCUGUCUCCACCCGAGACUCAGUGAAAUUGAACUCGCUGUGAAGAUGCAGUGUACCCGCGGCAAGACGGAAAGACCCCGUGAACCUUUACUAUAGCUUGACACUGAACAUUGAGCCUUGAUGUGUAGGAUAGGUGGGAGGCUUUGAAGUGUGGACGCCAGUCUGCAUGGAGCCGACCUUGAAAUACCACCCUUUAAUGUUUGAUGUUCUAACGUGGACCCGUGAUCCGGGUUGCGGACAGUGUCUGGUGGGUAGUUUGACUGGGGCGGUCUCCUCCUAAAGAGUAACGGAGGAGCACGAAGGUUGGCUAAUCCUGGUCGGACAUCAGGAGGUUAGUGCAAUGGCAUAAGCCAGCUUGACUGCGAGCGUGACGGCGCGAGCAGGUGCGAAAGCAGGUCAUAGUGAUCCGGUGGUUCUGAAUGGAAGGGCCAUCGCUCAACGGAUAAAAGGUACUCCGGGGAUAACAGGCUGAUACCGCCCAAGAGUUCAUAUCGACGGCGGUGUUUGGCACCUCGAUGUCGGCUCAUCACAUCCUGGGGCUGAAGUAGGUCCCAAGGGUAUGGCUGUUCGCCAUUUAAAGUGGUACGCGAGCUGGGUUUAGAACGUCGUGAGACAGUUCGGUCCCUAUCUGCCGUGGGCGCUGGAGAACUGAGGGGGGCUGCUCCUAGUACGAGAGGACCGGAGUGGACGCAUCACUGGUGUUCGGGUUGUCAUGCCAAUGGCACUGCCCGGUAGCUAAAUGCGGAAGAGAUAAGUGCUGAAAGCAUCUAAGCACGAAACUUGCCCCGAGAUGAGUUCUCCCUGAGACUUUAAGUCUCCUGAAGGAACGUUGAAGACGACGACGUUGAUAGGCCGGGUGUGUAAGCGCAGCGAUGCGUUGAGCUAACCGGUACUAAUGAACCGUGAGGCUUAACCUU
rnacentral:rRNA from 1 species